UGGGGAAUCUUGGACAAUGGGGGCAACCCUGAUCCAGCCAUGCCGCGUGAGUGAUGAAGGCCUUAGGGUCGUAAAGCUCUUUCGCCUGUGAAGAUAAUGACGGUAGCAGGUAAAGAAACCCCGGCUAACUCCGUGCCAGCAGCCGCGGUAAUACGGAGGGGGUUAGCGUUGUUCGGAAUUACUGGGCGUAAAGCGCACGUAGGCGGACCAGAAAGUUGGGGGUGAAAUCCCGGGGGCUCAACCCCGGAACUGCCUCCAAAACUAUUGGUCUAGAGUUCGAGAGAGGUGAGUGGAAUUCCAAGUGUAGAGGUGAAAUUCGUAGAUAUUUGGAGGAACACCAGUGGCGAAGGCGGCUCACUGGCUCGAUACUGACGCUGAGGUGCGAAAGUGUGGGGAGCAAACAGGAUUAGAUACCCCUGGUAGUCCACACCGUAAAACGAUGAAUGCCAGUCGUCGGGUAGCAUGCUAUUCGGUGACACACCUAACGGAUUAAGCAUUCCGCCUGGGGAGUACGGUCGCAAGAUU
rnacentral:rRNA from 1 species